AUGGGAUUUUUGCUCCUUUUAAUUUUCUCUUUAGCAGCUUUGGAAGGUGUCCGGUCCCAGGUGCAGCUGGUGGAGUCCGGAGGGGAUGUGAAAAAGCCCGGAGACUCUCUCCGCCUCUCCUGCAAAGCCUCCGGCUUCACCUUCAGCAGCGCCUACAUGAGCUGGGUCCGACAGGCUCCUGGCAAGGGACUAGAAUGGGUCGCUUAUAUAAGCACGGGAGGAAGUACUAUACUCUACCUUGAUUCCGUCAAAGGCCGGUUCACCAUCUCCAGGGACAAUCCCAAGAGUGAGCUGUAUCUGCAAAUGACCGGCCUGAAGCCCGAGGACACCGCCCGCUAUUACUGUGCGAGAGACACAGUG